rnacentral:lncRNA from 1 species
AGCCCAGAAGCCUCGGGAGCUCCCAGCUUUCCUGCCAGCCAGCGAGCUUCUUCCUACACAGCAUGGCCCUUGGAAGUCGGGUGAUGCUCUUGCCCUGCCCACUGGGCCGACUGUGGGAUCGACCGGCCGUGGGGAUGUGGAUGCCCCGAGCAAGAGGAGAGCAGGACGUAAAGCCCCCGUCAGGGCUGGGUGAGCGCCGCGGCUGGGCCCAGGUGUCUCUGUCCAUGGGUUAAGGCUCCUAUUAAGACCCUGGCCAGCGGGGUGGGGCACGGGUGGGGCUCCUUGUUCACUUCCUCCCUCCUCUGCAGACCCUGGCUGGGUCUGGAUGCCCUGCGUCCUUCUGGCCUGUCCUGACCUGCGUUGCUGCCUGCAGUCUGCCCAGCUGCAGCUGUAGGACACCUGCUUCCCAGACGCGGCCUCUGGCCAGACUUGUCAUCCACCAGGCAGAUGGCGCUCGGAGGAGCUCUUGGCUCGCUUCUCUGAACCUAAGAAAUCCACACUUCUGUUAAUGGGUGCUCCAAAUUCCACAGCGCCCGCCUUUCUCAUAUCGUCCAAACUUUAGUACAGAAGUAUUUUGGGAGAGCCACUUCCUCUUUGGAUUCUAAUGCCAGCAUGCCAACCGAGGCCUGGCUCCUGGUGGCCGAUGAGUCCUGUCUCGAUGUGCUGGCUCUCGCAGGACCAUAGUGGCCAUCUCCUACAUCCUGGGAGAACUACUGUGGGUAACGGAUGUUUUGUUUAUAUCAUGUUUUGUUCUCACUUGCUGGGAAUACAGAACUUGCAUUCACUGAAAAUCAACA